ensembl:snRNA U4 U4 spliceosomal RNA
AGCUUUGUGUAGUGGCAGAAGUGUAGCCAAUGAGGUCUAUCUGAGGCGCGAUUAUUGCUAAUUGAAAACUUUUCUCAAACACUUGGUAGAUUUUCUUGAGUUCAUGGGAAAUGA